rnacentral:rRNA from 1 species
CCUACGGGGCGCUGCAGUGGGGAAUAUUGGACAAUGGGCGAAAGCCUGAUCCAGCCAUGCCGCGUGUGUGAAGAAGGCCUUCGGGUUGUAAAGCACUUUCAGUGGGGAAGAAAGCCUUGAGGCUAAUACCCUCGAGGAAGGACAUCACCCACAGAAGAAGCACCGGCUAACUCCGUGCCAGCAGCCGCGGUAAUACGGAGGGUGCGAGCGUUAAUCGGAAUUACUGGGCGUAAAGCGCGCGUAGGCGGUCUGAUAAGCCGGUUGUGAAAGCCCCGGGCUCAACCUGGGAACGGCAUCCGGAACUGUCAGGCUAGAGUGCAGGAGAGGAAGGUAGAAUUCCCGGUGUAGCGGUGAAAUGCGUAGAGAUCGGGAGGAAUACCAGUGGCGAAGGCGGCCUUCUGGACUGACACUGACGCUGAGGUGCGAAAGCGUGGGUAGCAAACAGGAUUAGAUACCCCUGUAGUC